rnacentral:rRNA from 1 species
UACGUAGGGGGCAAGCGUUAUCCGGAAUUACUGGGCGUAAAGGGUGCGUAGGCGGUUUUACAAGUUGAAGUUUUAAACUAUGGGCUUAACCCAUAUCAGGCUUCAAAACUGUAAGACUUGAGUGCAGGAGAGGAAAGUGGAAUUCCCGGUGUAGCGGUGAAAUGCGUAGAUAUCGGGAGGAAUACCGGUGGCGAAGGCGACUUUCUGGACUGUAACUGACGCUGAGGCACGAAAGCGUGGGUAGCAAACAGG